CAUUUCUAGCUCAAGCGAGUUUACAACUCGGGUCCCAAAUGCUAUGGCAGUAUCUAAAUUCAAUUUUAUACUCAAAAUAGACAAAACAUGAAAAUCAAUGAUUAUAAUCACUUGCUCAACAGAUAAGAACAUGUAAUUUCGGAAAUCCUUUCUCAUAAAAACAACAAGUGGUCAAAUAAAAUUACAGAGUCGAAAUUGAGGAAAUGUACCUUGCUCCAACAGAAUAAAAAGAAACAAUGAUAAGGAAUGAAUCUGGGCUCAGCAAUGCAGCGAAUCAGCAGCACACAGUAGUUUUCUUCGAUUUAAAAGCUUUUACCCAGGAAAUGCGCAGCAACCCAUUAAACUUUAAAAAGCCAUCGGCUCUUCUCCUCUUUCAUUUUUUUUGAACUUUUCUUUAGUUUUGAAGAUUACUGAUUUUUGGAUCUUCAUUUAAGUUUUUGUUUUAGCUUUGUUUCAGCCAUUUGUGCAUUUCGUAUGUUUAAAUCAUGAGUGAAAAAUGAGUGUAGGAAAAAAAAAGAAGGGGAGGGCGUUAUUGUGCGAUUUGGAGAAGAGGCUUCUGUUAUGGUGAGGAAAAUCAGGGGAGUGAAGGGAUGAAGGGGAGGGCGUUUGUGUGCGAUUUGGAGAAAAGGCUUCUGUUAUGGUGAGGAAAAUCAGGGGAGUGAAGGGAUGUCCAAAUGAAUUUGAUCGAGGACCAAGAAGGUGGGUUCGAUCCACCAUUUGUGGUUGUUCUUCAAGAGAAGAAGCUCCCCUGUUGCCCCAUUUUCUUGUGAAGGGAUAUGAUGUGUAAAAGGGGGAGGGUUUUUUUAUUUUUGCGUGUGUCCUCUAGAGUAAAUCGAGUGUGUGUGCUUUUAUCGUGAAGAAGAAGAGAACAGGAAAGGGGGCACGCAUUUCGCGUGUCUUUUAAGGGAAGAAGGGGUAUCAGCUAAAUGGGAUUUCGGUCAUGGGUCAUGGGUUUUUGGGAUGGGUUUAAUUGGGCUGAGCUAUUUGGCCCAAAUUUGGGUCUUAAGACUAAC
rnacentral:lncRNA from 1 species